GAUCCUGGCUCAGGAUGAACGCUAGCGGUAUGCUUAACACAUGCAAGUCAAACGGGUCUAUUUAGCUUGCUAAAUGGAUCAGUGGCGGACGGGUGAGUAACGCGUGAGAAUUUGCCUUUAGGAAGGGGAUAACAAUUAGAAAUAGUUGCUAAAACCCUAUAUUGCAUAUAUUUAUAUAUAUAUGUGAAAUAAGUGUAAACUUGCCUAAAGAGAAGCUCGCGUCUGAUUAACUAGUUGGUGAGGUAAUGGCUUUCCAAGGUGACGAUCAGUAGCUGGUCUGAGAGGAUGAUCAGCCACACUGGAACUGAGACACGGUCCAGACUCCUACGGGAGGCAGCAGUGAGGAAUUUUCUGCAAUGGGCGAAAGCCUGACAGAGCAAUACCGCGUGAGGGAAGAAGGCCUAUGGGUUGUAAACCUCUUUUCUCAAGGAGGAAGAAAUGACGUUACUUGAGGAAUAAGCAUCGGCUAACUCUGUG
rnacentral:rRNA from 1 species